rnacentral:rRNA from 1 species
GAUGAACGCUGGCGGCGUGCCUAAUACAUGCAAGUCGAGCGAACAGACGAGGAGCUUGCUCCUCUGACGUUAGCGGCGGACGGGUGAGUAACACGUGGAUAACCUACCUAUAAGACUGGGAUAACUUCGGGAAACCGGAGCUAAUACCGGAUAAUAUAUUGAACCGCAUGGUUCGAUAGUGAAAGACGGUUUUGCUGUCACUUAUAGAUGGAUCCGCGCCGCAUUAGCUAGUUGGUAAGGUAACGGCUUACCAAGGCAAUGAUGCGUAGCCGACCUGAGAGGGUGAUCGGCCACACUGGAACUGAGACACGGUCCAGACUCCUACGGGAGGCAGCAGUAGGGAAUCUUCCGCAAUGGGCGAAAGCCUGACGGAGCAACGCCGCGUGAGUGAUGAAGGUCUUCGGAUCGUAAAACUCUGUUAUUAGGGAAGAACAAAUGUGUAAGUAACUAUGCACGUCUUGACGGUACCUAAUCAGAAAGCCACGGCUAACUACGUG